CCCUGGUUCAGGCUUUAUUUAAACUCUUUGUUCAAAAAAAAUGAACAGAGUGAUAGUCGGGUUCUAAUUUACAGAUAUAGUUUAGAUGUCUAAUAUUAAAUUAGAAGAUCACACAAGAAAAACCAUUUACACAUAAAGGUUAAAACCAAUACUUAAACUUUUAAAAACUUUAUAUUACAUAAAGCCAAAAUGAAACUAAAUACAUGUUAGCCAACUUCAUUCACAAACAGUAGUCAAAAUAUAUACACUUAAAAAGAAAAAAGCUACAAAUGAGGUUCUUUUCUCUAAAAUGUGUUUUAUCAUCAUUUGCAAAUGAAUUGCAGGUGAUCUAAAAAAUAAGCUAAUUAGGGAGGGAACUCCAAAACACAUUUAAGCGGUUUGAGUUGGUGGAGAAAUGCUAGCUGAAAGAAGAGACAUCUGUCAAAACAAUUCUGGUUUUUGUUUUGUUUUGCCCAUAAUGAAAAAAUAGGAACAAUGCCUUUUUCUGUGUAAACUGUGUCAAAAAUUCUAGCAAGUGGACUCAGGGAGACUUGUAGUAGAUUUUUUUUUUUAAGGGAGAAAAUCCAAUUGACAACUUUUCAUUUCACACACAUUUCUUGUUUGCGGUCCUUGCUCUUGAGAAAGAGCUCUUGGUCUGAUUUGCAUAUGGCAGGAUAAACAAAAGAAACCAUGAUCGUCUCACACACAAAAGGCCAGAUUCGAGCCGGUCACUGGUCAAGAAUGGAUCCGGUCUAGGGGUUCUGC
rnacentral:lncRNA from 1 species